AGGGUGUGACUAGUAUGCAGUUUA
rnacentral:siRNA from 1 species